CAAUUUUUCUCUCUCUCAAUAGGCCCUCUUUUCUUUUCCUUCAUAAUUUCAUUCUGUCAUUAUUACUUUUUUUUUUUCUUUCCUAAGAUACAUACACCCACAUCUACAAUAUAUACAAAUAUAUCUCUAUAGUUCAGGAUUAUUGACUUAGUGGCAACCUAUUUUCUGCUGUGUAUGUGAUAUGUUGGCUAAAUUUUUGUUGUGUCAAAUUGAGAUUUGAUGAAAAUAAUACAGCUCUGUUUCUUAAUAGUGUUUUCUGACAAAAGUAAUGGAAUGCUGGAAAACAAGAUAAAUUAUUUUCUUUUUAAUGAGGAAAACAUAUGAAGAAUAAUUGUAGUCUACAUCACCCACUUUUCUAAUUCUAUUCUUUUUUCCCACACCACACCCAUUUGCUAUUUCUUUCUUCUCUUGAAUCAUGGCAGUUCUUGUACUAACAUAGCUGUAAGGUAAAGGUAUCUCAACCCUACUCUCUUUCUCUCUCUUCUGUUCUUACUCUAUAUUUAAUAAUUUUUUUUUAUCAUUCUUUGUGUUUGAUUUUCUCUUAUUGUGAUAUUUGGCUUGCUUUCAUCACAUGCCUCAGAAAUUUUAUAAAAUAAAUUUCAAUUUGUUGCAGCUUUAUCAUUCCUUUAUCCUCAUUUGCUUUCUCUUUUUAUUAUUUAGUGGAAGAUUAUGUGAGAUUUUGCCACCUAGCACAUGAUUACUUGUAAAUGGCGGUAUGUUGGGUUGUGAGGCAAAAAAUCAAUGCCACCAAACAGUCUUUUAAACCUUUUUAAAUCCAGAAGGCCAUACAUGGGUGAAUCCGCAAUAAUUAAGCUAAAGAAUGGGGGGACUAAGAUAAUGUAUGCUUCUUCUUCCCAGGACCAAAA